UGCAGUCGGACGACAGGCGAGGAAUCCGCAAGGAGGAAUCGUGCUGAGUGGCGAACGGGUGAGUAAGACAUGGGGACGUACCCUCAAGAGGGGGAUAGCAUUCCGAAAGGGAUGGUAAUACCCCGUAAGCUCGAGAGAGGGAAGGUGCAACAGCACCGCUUGAGGAGCGACUCAUGGCCCAUCAGUUAGUUGGUGAGGUAAAGGCCCACCAAGGCUAUGACGGGUAGCUGGUCUGAGAGGAUGGUCAGCCACACUGGGACUGAGACACGGCCCAGACUCCUACGGGAGGCAGCAGUGGGGAAUUUUUCCCAAUGGGCGAAAGCCUGAGGGAGCGACGCCGCGUGGAGGAAGGAGUCUUUCGAGAUGUAAACUCCUGUUGUAAGGGAGCAAGGGUAUAUGUAGUGGAAAGGCAUAUACUCGGAUAGUACCUUACGAGGAAGCCCCGGCUAACUACGUGCCAGCAGCCGCGGUAAUACGUAGGGGGCGAGCGUUGUCCGGAGUUACUGGGCGUAAAGGGUGCGUAGGUGGCCGAUAAAGUCAAUUGUGAAAUUCCACGGCUCAACUGUGGGAGUGCGGUUGAAACUAAUCGGCUUGAGGUCAGGUCAGGAAGAUGGAAUUGUCAGUGUAGGGGUGAAAUCCGUAGAUAUUGGCAAGAACGCCGGUGGUGAAGACGGUCUUCUGGGCUGAUACUGACACUGAGGCACGAAAGCUAGGGGAGCGAACGGGAUUAGAUACCCCGGUAGUCCUAGCCGUAAACGAUGUUCACUGAGUAUGGGAGGCGUUAGCCAUCCGUGCUGAAGCAAACGCGUUAAGUGAACCGCCUGGGGAGUAC
rnacentral:rRNA from 1 species